rnacentral:rRNA from 1 species
GAUUCCUACGGGACGCAGCAGUGAGGAAUAUUGGUCAAUGGGCGGGAGCCUGAACCAGCCAAGCCGCGUGAGGGAAGAAGGUACAGCGUAUCGUAAACCUCUUUUGUCAGGGAACAAAGGCGGGGACUAGUCCCCGGAUGAGGGUACCUGAAGAAAAAGCAUCGGCUAACUCCGUGCCAGCAGCCGCGGUAAUACGUAGGUGGCGAGCGUUAUCCGGAAUGAUUGGGCGUAAAGGGUGCGCAGGCGGUCCUGCAAGUCUGGAGUGAAACGCAUGAGCUCAACUCAUGCAUGGCUUUGGAACACGG